GUAACCAAACAGCAUGAGAGGGAGGUUUGUCAUCGCGGAAGUAUUCCAGCCAGUGAACAAAGAAGGCAUAGCUGAGGGGAUAUCCACCUUCCGUGCCAGACAGCGCAUGUCAGCCUCCCAGGGGAUGCAAGCCUCAGCCCCGCAGACCUGCUGGAAACCUGCCUCUCUGGGCAUGGGAAGGAUCAGCUGAGGAGUGAGGAUGGCGGCGAUUACCCACAGCCUUAGCGUGACCUGCUCAUUUGCAGCACCAACCAAUGAAAGUCAACAGAAAAUGUGAAAAAUGGCAGUCCAUGCCAUGAAUACACGUCAUUUGAAAAAAGCGUCCGCGGGUGCCACUGGCACUCACACACACGCCCUCCACUUAAUGUCUCCACUUAAU
rnacentral:lncRNA from 10 species